rnacentral:tRNA from 1 species
GCCUGGGUGGCUCAGCUGGUUAAGCUUCCGACUUCGGCUCAGGUCAUGAUCUGGAGGUUCGUGGGUUCGAGCCCCACGCCAGGCU